CCCCUGAUAGCUCAGUGGGUAAAGAAUCUGCCUGCAAUGCAGAAGACCCUGGUUCCAUCCCUGGGUUGGGAA
rnacentral:tRNA from 1 species